AAAAUGCGGCUGGUGGCUGGACCACCCCUCCAGCGUCUUCUGCUACCUGAUCAUCCCACAGCCCACCAAGACCUGGCAGAAGGCGCAAGACCACUGCCAAGCCCACCAAGGGAACCUGGUCAGCAUCGCCGACUCGCACGAGCAGGACUUUGUACACGUUCUCUUCAAGAGUCAGGCACAAGCGUCCUCUCUGUGGUUGGGCGCCGAUGUCUCACUUGAUGACGAUGACGGCAAAUGGACUGACCGAUCCUCGUUCACGUUCAAGCGCCAAUGUGAAGGUGACGCCAAAGGGGGGUAUUGUCUUUCCUUGCUCACUGGCAGCGGCGACUGGAAGUACGACCCGUGCGGCAACGAGAGAGGCUACGUCUGCAAGAAAAGAGGAAAAGGAGUGAAAGAAUCUUCCCCGACUCUUGUCG